CCUACGGGAGGCUGCAGUGAGGAAUAUUGGUCAAUGGACGAGAGUCUGAACCAGCCAAGUAGCGUGAAGGAUGACUGCCCUAUGGGUUGUAAACUUCUUUUAUAUGGGAAUAAAAUGUUCCACGUGUGGGAUUUUGUAUGUACCAUAUGAAUAAGGAUCGGCUAACUCCGUGCCAGCAGCCGCGGUAAUACGGAGGAUCCGAGCGUUAUCCGGAUUUAUUGGGUUUAAAGGGAGCGUAGGUGGAUGGUUAAGUCAGUUGUGAAAGUUUGCGGCUCAACCGUAAAAUUGCAGUUGAAACUGGCAGUCUUGAGUACAGUAGAGGUGUGCGGAAUUCGUGGUGUAGCGGUGAAAUGCUUAGAUAUCACGAAGAACUCCGAUUGCGAAGGCAGUUCACUGGACUGCAACUGACACUGAGGCUCGAAAGUGUGGGUAUCAAACAGGAUUAGAUACCCCUGUAGUC
rnacentral:rRNA from 1 species